rnacentral:rRNA from 1 species
UACGAAGGGUGCAAGCGUUAAUCGGAAUUACUGGGCGUAAAGGGUGCGUAGGCGGUUGUUUAAGUCUGUCGUGAAAUCCCCGGGCUCAACCUGGGAAUGGCGAUGGAAACUGGGCAGCUAGAGUGUGUCAGAGGAUGGUGGAAUUCCCGGUGUAGCGGUGAAAUGCGUAGAGAUCGGGAGGAACAUCAGUUGCGAAGGCGGCUCUCUGGACCAGCACUGACACUGAGGCACGAAAGCGUGGGGAGCAAACAGG